rnacentral:rRNA from 1 species
GUGUCAGCCGCCGCGGUAACACGUAGGGGGCGAGCGUUGUCCGGAUUCAUUGGGCGUAAAGAGCUCGUAGGCGGCUCAGUAAGUCGGGUGUGAAACCCUCAGGCUCAACCUGGGGACGCCACUCGAUACUGCUGUGGCUAGAGUCCAGUAGAGGAGUGUGGAAUUCCCGGUGUAGCGGUGAAAUGCGCAGAUAUCGGGAGGAACACCAACGGCGAAGGCAGCACUCUGGGCUGGAACUGACGCUGAGGAGCGAAAGCGUGGGUAGCAAACAGGAUUAGAAACCCCUGUAGUCC